rnacentral:rRNA from 1 species
UACGUAGGGGGCGAGCGUUGUCCGGAUUUAUUGGGCGUAAAGAGCUUGUAGGAGGUUUGUCGCGUCUGCUGUGAAAAUCCGGGGCUCAACCCCGGACUUGCAGUGGGUACGGGCAGACUAGAGUGUGGUAGGGGAGACUGGAAUUCCUGGUGUAGCGGUGAAAUGCGCAGAUAUCAGGAGGAACACCGAUGGCGAAGGCAGGUCUCUGGGCCACUACUGACGCUGAGAAGCGAAAGCAUGGGGAGCGAACAGG